rnacentral:pre_miRNA from 1 species
UUGGAUGAGAUCAAUGUAGAACCUGCACUUUAAAAAAGAAACCCACGUUAAGUGGUGGAACAUAUAUUGAUUUCAUCGGA